GACGAACGCUGGCGGCGUGCUUAACACAUGCAAGUCGAACGGAAAGGCCCUGCUUUUGUGGGGUGCUCGAGUGGCGAACGGGUGAGUAACACGUGAGUAACCUGCCCUUGACUUUGGGAUAACUUCAGGAAACUGGGGCUAAUACCGGAUAGGAGCUCCUGCUGCAUGGUGGGGGUUGGAAAGUUUCGGCGGUUGGGGAUGGACUCGCGGCUUAUCAGCUUGUUGGUGGGGUAGUGGCUUACCAAGGCUUUGACGGGUAGCCGGCCUGAGAGGGUGACCGGCCACAUUGGGACUGAGAUACGGACCAGACUGCUACGGGAGGCAGCAGUGGGGAAUAUUGCGCAAUGGGCGGAAGCCUGAUGCAGCAACGCCGCGUGCGGGAUGACGGCCUUCGGGUUGUAAACCGCUUUCGCCUGUGCCGAAGAGUGAGUGACGGUAACGGGUAAAGAAGCACCGGCUAACUACGUG
rnacentral:rRNA from 1 species